rnacentral:rRNA from 1 species
GUAGGUGGCGAGCGUUAUCCGGAUUUACUGGGCGUAAAGCGCGUGCAGGCGGUUCCGUAAGUCGGACGUGAAAGCUCCUGGCUUAACUGGGAGAGGCCGUUCGAUACUGCGGGACUUGAGGUCGGGAGAGGGACGUGGAAUUCCCGGUGUAGUGGUGGAAUGCGUAGAUAUCGGGAGGAACACCAGUGGCGAAGGCGGCGUCCUGGCCCGCACCUGACGCUAAGACGCGAAAGCGUGGGUAGCGAACGGGAUUAGAUACCCCGGGUAGUCCACGCCGUAAACGGUGGAUACUAGGUGUUGGUGGCUAUCGUCAUCAGUGCCGUAGCUAACGCGUUAAGUAUCCCGCCUGGGGACUACGGCCGCAAGGCUAA